rnacentral:rRNA from 1 species
UACGAGGGGGGCGAGCGUUGUUCGGAAUUAUUGGGCGUAAAGGGUGCGUAGGCGGUUUGGUAAGUCUCGUGUGAAAUCUACAGGCUCAACUUGUAGUCUGCACGAGAAACUGCCGGGCUUGAGUAUGGGAGAGGUGAGUGGAAUUCCUGGUGUAGCGGUGAAGUGCGUAGAUAUCAGGAGGAACACCUGUGGCGAAAGCGGCUCACUGGACCAUAACUGACGCUGAUGCACGAAAGCUAGGGGAGCAAACAGG